CCACCGUCCGCUCCUCCUGCCUGCCGGCCUGCCUCACGAUGACUCAGCAGGGGGGGGGGUCUCUCCCUGCUGGGAGGGGUGCCCCGAGUGCUGAGGCCUGGAAGGGGCUGCGGGGCGUCCCUGUCUCCCGAGGCAUCCUGGAGGCAAGCGCGGUUCAAGAGCACAGUCGGGGCUGCAGCCCGAGCUGAACAGGCUUCUGCCGUUAAAGACGAUGUAUGCGUAGCUGGGAGUGGAUGUGGGUUGGUGCACGGGAACCCCAGAGCCUGUGGGAGAAGACAGAGGCCGGAAGCAGGCUGUGGGUUAAGGGCAGUCGUCACCCCAGAGCCAGUGUUGCCUAAGUGUGGUGUUCCCUGUAAGUAUGCAGGAAAUUUGUGUGUGGAAAUUCAGGAAUUGGAGAAAACACCACUCAGUCAGAUUUGGGGACAUUUCUCGUGUGGUGCAACCAUGACUCAGAGAGCAUGACCUGAAGUCAUUUCCUGAAAGCACACGGGGCCGAGCAGACUCCAGGUCCGGAGUCAACACCAGCUUCUUCCUGGAGGAAGGGCCAGGGUGAGGGAGUGGAAUGGAAGGCGUCCCCCGAGGCUGGGCUGCCCUUCUGCCUCCCAGGAAGGCGGCUGUGGACCAACACCUUGCGCCUGCCUCAGCCCUGCUGGCCCCCCCUGUGGACUUUGAGGUCCUUGUCACCUGUGUUCCCAGACGCCAACCCGGUGGGGCCCACUGCCGUUCCUGCAGACCGCUCGCUGCUGGAUGAGUCUCCCUGGAGUUGGCCUGCUCCUGGGGCACCUGGCCUGUACUUGAGGCCUCAGGCUGAUGGGAGGCCUGGGCUCUCCCUCCGUGUCCCCACUGUGCCCUUCUUCCCCUCGGCCUGUGAAUGCACGUGUCUGGGGGCCCUGUCCAGCUUCGAUGCCUGUAUCCAGAGUCCGCAGCCCCAGUGUGCCCGAGCCCCCGGUCAGGUGCCCUUGGGGGGACCAUCAGCUGCACACAGCCCGUGGCACGCCACACCAUCCUGGCCCAGCUCAGCAGUGCUCCUGGUGGCCAAGCCCGGACCGGGGGCAGUUGGGGAGCAGCCUCAGAGGACAGAACAGAGAAGGGUUGCCUUGGCCCAGGACGGUGCAGAGGCUUGCUUUGUCUACACCAGGCCUCACGGGUGGUGGGGGCUGAGCCCUGGAGAGCAGCCUCAGUGAGGGGCUCCUGCACUGCCUCCUGUCUCUGCAGUGGGGACAGGGAGAGGGGACGAGCCCUGUGGCCCAGGUGGCCUGGGGCCAAGGAAGCGGGAGGUGGCCUGGGAGCGGCUGGGGUUCGUGGCAGGGUGGCUUCCUCCCGGCACUGGGGUGCGGGUGGGCCCCGGCACAGGGCGCCCGGAGUGGCCUGGCAGGGCCACACAGGAGGCCUCCCCAGAGCAGGGAGAGGCCCAGUCUCCUUGUUCCUGCCCCAUGGCCCCCCUGUGCCCUGUCCUCUCUUCUCAGGUGAGAGCCUCCCUGGGCCCCGCCCUGGGGACACAGCUGUGUCUCUUCGGGGGGCCUCUCCUGCCCGGCGCUGCUCCUCAGCCCUGCAGCGCUCCCUUCUCACUGGGGACAGGGUCCAGGGAGGCGCAGCUGCACAGGCUGCCACCCCGACUGGACGCUCCGGCCUGCAGCACCCAGCUCUGCAGACCCGCUGUGCACAGCCGCCCCUGCUGCGGUGGCUGUCGCACGCUGCCCCGUGAGGGGACCUCUGCCCUCGUGGCCUCACCAGUGCCUUCCGUCUGCACCUGGACCCAGCGCAGCCCUGGCCCAGCCUACCACCCUUUCCUGUUACUGAGGCCGGGCCACCCGCCUCUCGGCCACAGUUGGCUUCCCGUGUCCCCUCCUCAGUGGGGCCUGCUUGUCCUCCCAUGUCGAAGGUGCAGAAAGUAAGCGAGGGCCUCUGGGGUUGGAGGCCUGACCCCCCAGAGCCACAGGGGUGGCAGGGCUGGGGCGGCCGGGCCUGGGCACGGCGUCUCGAGGUCACAGGCUCCCCGCUUCCUUGGCCCACUUGGUUGCCAGUUUCCCUCGUGAGCAGCUCGAGGCCAUCACGGGGGCUGGAGGUGGAAGUGAGGGGUUCUGGGGCAGCCGGGUCAGACGAGAAACCCCGUGUGUUUCCUGGGGUGGAUGCCAGUGUGCUUGGUCCCCGUCCCCGUCCCCCUGCACGUAGGACCUGCUGAGGGCAUGUGUGCAGCGGGGGUUACACGGCGGGGAUAGCUUUGGGGCUGAAACUGACCACCCACUAGGAUUAGAACUGUCUGUCCCCGGACUCAAGAGCAGACACGGUUUUCUGCCACUUGCAACACAUGUUUCGAUCAGUUUAAAUCAUGUAAAUCAUCCAAAUGCUGACUGAUUCCUCCGGAGUCACAGGGUUUCCAAGCCUGGAAGGAGCUGUGGAGACUAAAUUUCCUCUUCCAUUCCGUCACUUGAGUACUGGAAUAGCAGCUUUGUGCCAGCCCUGGGCUGGACAAGGAGACUGAGGGUCAGAGAGGGGAGGGGCCGGGGAGGAGGACCCCACGCCAGCCUGCUUCCUUCCCAUUCCUCUGCUGCCCCACCCUGGAUGCCCGUAUCGGGUUGGCACGUGGCUCUGUGAGCCUGGAGAAGCAGGUGUGGGACAGGCAGCAGGUUUUGGUUUCUCUGGCAAAGUGGAAGUGGUGAAGGUUGCAGAGGAGAGGAGGAAGGGAGGGAGAAAGAAACACCAAGGCUGAAAACACGCAGGGCAAACCUGGCACCGCACUGGGCGUCUCCUCGCCCUGCUCCGGGAUGGUGCUCCCACAAGACCCCAGCGGGGCUGAGGAGUUCCCACCGACCAUGCCCACCAGGAGAUGUCGGCGUGGAAUGCCACGCCCGUGCCUGUGGCGAGACCCGCAUCAAGCACCCUACUGCAGCCACCCAGGCAAACAAAACCAUCCCAGGUGUCCCCAUCUGCUUUAUUCACCGGAUCUGGCCCCGUGUGACUUCCCGCUCCUCCCCAGAGUCAAAAUGACCACGAAAUGGAAACUGCUGAAUCGACUCAGGACACUGAGGCAGCCAGGACAGUGCAAGGAGAGCCGCUUGGGAAAGAGGGUGAGGACGACGGGAUGAGGGAGUUCGGCGCAAGGGAGAGGGUUGGAGGGAAGUCACGGCUGUGUCUUUUCUGUAAUGUAUAUAUUUUUUAAACUUUAAA